rnacentral:rRNA from 1 species
CCUACGGGCGGCUGCAGUGGGGAAUAUUGCACAAUGGGCGCAAGCCUGAUGCAGCCAUGCCGCGUGUGUGAAGAAGGCCUUCGGGUUGUAAAGCACUUUCAGCGGGGAGGAAGGCGUUAAGGUUAAUAACCUUGUCGAUUGACGUUACCCGCAGAAGAAGCACCGGCUAACUCCGUGCCAGCAGCCGCGGUAAUACGGAGGGUGCAAGCGUUAAUCGGAAUUACUGGGCGUAAAGCGCACGCAGGCGGUCUGUCAAGUCGGAUGUGAAAUCCCCGGGCUCAACCUGGGAACUGCAUUCGAAACUGGCAGGCUAGAGUCUUGUAGAGGGGGGUAGAAUUCCAGGUGUAGCGGUGAAACGCGUAGAGAUCUGGAGGAAUACCGGUGGCGAAGGCGGCCCCCUGGACAAAGACUGACGCUCAGGUGCGAAAGCGUGGGGAGCAAACAGGAUUAGAUACCCUAGUAGUC